rnacentral:tRNA from 1 species
UCCAAUAUGGUGUAGUGGCCAACAUGAUGCCCUCUCAAGUGCUAAAAGGUUAGGCAUAGCCCCGAGUUCGAUUCUCGGUUUCAGAA